GACGAACGCUGGCGGCGCGCCUAACACAUGCAAGUCGAACGGAGCUGCGAGAAGCUUGCUUUUCUUAGCUUAGUGGCGAACGGGUGAGUAACGCGUGAGUAACCUGCCCUGGAGUGGGGGACAACAGUUGGAAACGACUGCUAAUACCGCAUAAGCCCACGAUCCGGCAUCGGAUUGAGGGAAAAGGAUUUAUUCGCUUCAGGAUGGACUCGCGUCCAAUUAGCUAGUUGGUGAGGUAACGGCCCACCAAGGCGACGAUUGGUAGCCGGACUGAGAGGUUGAACGGCCACAUUGGGACUGAGACACGGCCCAGACUCCUACGGGAGGCAGCAGUGGGGGAUAUUGCACAAUGGGGAAACCCUGAUGCAGCGACGCCGCGUGGAGGAAGAAGGUUUUCGGAUUGUAAACUCCUGUCGUUAGGGACGAUAAUGACGGUACCUAACAAGAAAGCACCGGCUAACUACGUG
rnacentral:rRNA from 1 species